rnacentral:ncRNA from 1 species
GCGAAGGACUGAAAUUUCGGUCCCUUCCGGAGUAAUCCGGAAUGAGAAAAACUGGGUGAAUUCGGAGAAUCCUCAGAUAUAUAUCCGAGGGAACCCCGAGCCGAGCCAAGAUGGGUUUUAUUUUCUUGGAAGGUGUAGAGACUAGCAGGUGAGCCCCAACGAUAAUCCUGCAAACAGCGCCCAGCCCCCUUUUCAGGGGUGAUGAUAUAGUCCAACAUAGGAUGGAAAAUCCUUG